GACAGAGGGUGCAAACGUUGUUCGGAUUUACUGGGCGUAAAGCGCGUGUAGGCGGCUUUGCAAGUCGGAUGUGAAAGCCCACGGCUCAACCGUGGAAGUGCAUCCGAAACUGCAUGGCUGGAGUCCCGGAGAGGAAGGUGGAAUGCUUGGUGUAGAGGUGAAAUUCGUAGAUAUCAAGCAGAACACCAGUGGCGAAGGCGGCUCACUGGCCCGGUACUGACGCUGAGGCACGAAAGCGUGGGGAGCAAACAGG
rnacentral:rRNA from 1 species